AACGAACGUUAGCGGCGCGCCUAACACAUGCAAGUCGCACGAGAAAGGGCUUCGGCCCCGGUAAAGUGGCGCACGGGUGAGUAACACGUGGGUAAUCUACCCUCGAGCGGGGGAUAACAUUCCGAAAGGAGUGCUAAUACCGCAUAAGACCACGCCCUCGAAAGAGGAUGCGGUCAAAGCUGGCCUCUAUACAUAAGCUAGCACUCGAGGAUGAGCCCGCGGCGCAUCAGCUAGUUGGUGAGGUAAUGGCUCACCAAGGCUAAGACGCGUAGCUGGUCUGAGAGGAUGAUCAGCCACACUGGAACUGAGACACGGUCCAGACUCCUACGGGAGGCAG
rnacentral:rRNA from 1 species